UACGAAGGGGGCUAGCGUUGCUCGGAAUCACUGGGCGUAAAGCGCACGUAGGCGGCUUUUUAAGUCAGGGGUGAAAUCCUGGAGCUCAACUCCAGAACUGCCUUUGAUACUGAGAAGCUUGAGUCCGGGAGAGGUGAGUGGAACUGCGAGUGUAGAGGUGAAAUUCGUAGAUAUUCGCAAGAACACCAGUGGCGAAGGCGGCUCACUGGCCCGGAACUGACGCUGAGACGCGAAAGCGUGGGGAGCAAACAGG
rnacentral:rRNA from 1 species